GAUGAACGCUGACAGAAUGCUUAACACAUGCAAGUCAACUUGAACUUCGGUUUGGGUGGCGGACGGGUGAGUAACGCGUAAAGAACUUGCCUCACAGCUAGGGACAACAUUUGGAAACGAAUGCUAAUACCUGAUAUUAUGAUUAUAUGGCAUCGUAUAAUUAUGAAAGCUAUAUGCGCUGUGAGAGAGCUUUGCGUCCCAUUAGCUAGUUGGAGAGGUAACAGCUCACCAAGGCGAUGAUGGGUAGCCGGCCUGAGAGGGUGAUCGGCCACAAGGGGACGGAGACACGGCCCUUACUCCUACGGGAGGCAGCAGUGGGGAAUAUUGGACAAUGGACCGAGAGUCUGAUCCAGCAAUUCUGUGUACACGAUGAAGUUUUUCGGAAUGUAAAGUGCUUUCAGUUGGGAAGAAAAAAAUGACGGUACCAACAGAAGAAGUGACGGCUAAAUACGUG
rnacentral:rRNA from 1 species